rnacentral:sRNA from 1 species
GCUUCGACCAAGGUGCGACUCGAGCGCCAGCGAGAAAGCGUUGCCGCAGGCAACGACCCGAAGGGUGAAGCGCGCAGCGCUGAGUAAUCCUUCCCCCACCACCA